rnacentral:rRNA from 1 species
UACGUAGGAGACGAGCGUUGUCCGGAGUUACUGGGCGUAAAGGGUGCGCAGGCGGCCUUGCGCGUCGCGAGUGAAAUCUCCCGGCUCGAACUGGGAGGGUGGUCGCGAGACGGCAGGGCUUGAGGCUCGGUGAGGGGGCGUGGAAUUCCGGGUGGAGCGGUGGAAAUGCGUAGAGAUCCGGAGGAACACCGACGGCGUAGG